rnacentral:SRP_RNA from 1 species
GCCGGGUGUGGUGGCACGCACCUGUAAUCCCAGCUACUCGGGAGGCUGAGGCAGAAGAAUCACUUGAACCCAGGAGGCGGAGGUUGCAGUGAGUUGAGAUUAUGCCACUGCACUCCAGCCUGGGUGACAGAGUGAGACUCCGCCUCAA